rnacentral:rRNA from 1 species
GACGAACGCUGGCGGCGUGCUUAACACAUGCAAGUCGAACGGAAAGGCCCCCUUGUGGGGUACUCGAGUGGCGAACGGGUGAGUAACAUGUGAGUAACCUACCCUUGACUUUGGGAUAACUUCAGGAAACUGGGGCUAAUACCGGAUAGGAGCUCCCGCUGCAUGGUGGGGGUUGGAAAGUUUCGGCGGUUGGGGAUGGACUCGCGGCUUAUCAGCUUGUUGGUGGGGUAGUGGCUCACCAAGGCUUUGACGGGUAGCCGGCCUGAGAGGGUGACCGGCCACAUUGGGACUGAGAUACGGCCCAGACCCCUACGGGAGGCAGCAGUGGGGAAUAUUGCACAAUGGGCGGAAGCCUGAUGCAGCAACGCCGCGUGCGGGAUGACGGCCUUCGGGUUGUAAACCGCUUUCGCCUGUGACGAAGCGUGAGUGACGGUAAUGGGUAAAGAAGCACCGGCUAACUACGUG